GAGAAUUAUGAAGUUUUACUAAAUUAAUUGAUAAAAUUUUAAAAAUAUUCCCAUAUACCAUGAAAAAGAGCUUAAAAUACAUUAAUACAAAUGUAGAAUUUGGUUAGAAAUUUUAAAACAACACUAAAGAUUAUAGGCUUCAAUAUAUAAAGAAUUUACCAAAAACUCAAUAUUUUCGAAGGGUUAACACAUGGAUUUUGAGAAAAUUUCAUAAAAUAUGACACUAUGGUUUUAAUGCGUAGUUUCAUCCUGCACUAACCUAUGAUGAUGUUCAAAGAGAUUUGGAGCCUUUGUUGUCUCCGUUUUUCAAGAAAAUAUUAUUUUAUAGUGGUUAUUCCAUCGAUUUAGGGAGGAUUAUGAAGUUUUACUAAAUUAAUUGAUAAAGAAAAAUAAUGAUUCCCAUAUCCUACUAUAUAAAAGGAGCUAAAUUCUAGCUUCCUAAGCCCUGCCACAUCACCUAAAAUAUUUAGAACCAAUUAAUGUUACACAUCAACAUGUAAAUUAGCUAAAUUCUUGCGACUCCUCAUGUCAUCUCUGUGGCGGCUCCGCGGUUGCCUCCCUCCGUUGCCGUGACCAAGCUUCCUUCGCGACUAUAAGCCACGUUAUUUCCUAGCUCCCAAAGUCGUCGAUCUCACUUCCAAUUGCAGAAGAUCUCAAGCCGCGGCAGCCAAAUUAGCCAAUCUCACUUCUAUUUCGUCUGAAGGGUUGAUGGUUGACCGUCUCCGACUCUUCAUUUUGUCGUCACCACCACAUUGAUUAAUCAAUUAUCUUCUUUACUCCUUUCGUCUCCUUUUAUAUCAGAAUUAUGCUUUAUGGUUUGAAUCCGGUGGUUUAUUAUUUUUAUUUUUGUUUGUAAUUGUUUUCAGGCACCACUCAUUCCAGCCAGAAACAUCUGGAUACUCUGUUCACGUAGCUAUGUUCACAAGAAGUUGCUUAGCAGAGGAUGAUACUCUGAUCACGCAGCUAUUCGUAAAAACGGAGAUAGUGAAAUUGAGUAGACAAUCAGAGAGAUGGAAGCAACAGAGAUGGAAGCAACGAUGAAAUGAAAUAAUUUGAGCAAAGUGGACGACCGUAAUGCAAGAAGCUAUAUAACUUAAAGGAAACAAAAAAAUGUUUUACAUUUUUUUUUAGGAUAAAUGGUCAUCCGUUUGAUGCAGAAAUGUUCUACUUGAGGCAUGUAUGCACAAAGUGACAGAAGAGUCAGAAAAACGUGGAGCAUUUUGGUCUGAAAAGUGGCCAGAGUAGAGAUUGUUCAUCAGUGGUUUGAAGACACAUAUGGAAAUCAACACAAGAGGAUUUCACAGCAGACAUGAUUGUUGAAAAACUAUUGUUUCAGUCAUACUUCAAGGGUGUAGGAAUUGAUUGGUGGUAUGUGAGAAACGUUAUGGAUUGAGAGCUGUAUAUGGAGGUUUUAUUGCUGCAUUGAAGGAUCUGAGACAGUGAGACUCUGUGUGAUUAAUGUACUUUCCUCAAACUUACGACCUUCAUGAUGAUUCAUCAAUUCUCUGCACUGAAGAAGAGGUGCAGCUUGGUGUCUGUAAUGGUUGAAGUGGACCGAAUUCUUAGACCACAAGAAACAUUUAUAGUAAAUGAUGGCAUGGAAAAGAUAGGAGAAAUUGAGAAGAUGAUGGAAUCACUGAAAUAAAUGUAAGAAUGACACAUUCCAGAUAUGGAGAAGGAGUGAUCUCUGUUCAGAAGUCAUGGUGGCGUCCUACAGAGGUCGAGACCAUUACAUCGGUCAUAUCAAGUGAAAGAGAAUUGGUUUAAUAUAGUUUUAUGAGAAUGUUUCUUUCAUGAUCACGUUGAUUGCUUACAUUGUAUUAGGCCAAUAUGUGUAUCUUUUUUUGCCUUGACGAAAAUUAUAUACAAGACAUUGUCCCUAUAAUAUAAGCUUUUUAUAAGUUUUUAA